UUGAGUGGUCAACUGUAGUAAAGUGUUAGUGAGGACAAAAGUUAUAUCUAUUAAAAAUGUACACAAACCCGUUCAGUCGCACUCAUAGCUGUAUGCGCCAAGUUAUUGAUCGUUUUUUACACAUAAACGAUCACAGGAAAUCGAACAAUGGAGGUCUAAAAAGAAAUGGUUCCAAUAGUUCGGUGUUUUCGUCAUCAUCCAUGGCAUCUCAUAAAUCUCCAGUGACUAGUGCUAAGAGACUUAUUUCGAUGGCUCAAUGAGCACUCAGUGGCUACUUCUGGAUUACUUCUUUUUGUUGUGGAUUACAUUAACAAAAUAGUGUAGUCAUGAGCUUCAGCUAAAGGGCCUAGAGUAGAGAAGAUUCGUAUGCAGCCAAGCUAAGAUAGAUGCUUUAAAGAGAGCGUUCAAAUUAAAAGCUACUGGGAGAUGCGACAAACUAUUCAUUAAGGAAUAGUAUGAGAAGAAUAAAUUGUAUUGUAUGCUAUAUGUAACUUAAUAUUAAACCUUUAUACCGUAAUGUAUGUAAUGUAGUUUAACAAAAUAUAUAUUACUUUAUAUACA